UGCCAGCCGCCGCGGUAAUACGGAUGGUGCGAGCGUUAAUCGGAAUUACUGGGCGUAAAGCGCGCGUAGGCGGUUUGGUCAGUUAGAUGUGAAAGCCCAGGGCUCAACCUUGGAACUGCAUUUAAUACUGCCAGACUUGAGAUCGGAAGAGGAAAGCGGAAUUUCUAGUGUAGAGGUGAAAUUCGUAGAUAUUAGAAGGAACAUCAGAGGCGAAGGCGGCUUUCUGGUCCGAUACUGACGCUGAGGUACGAAAGCGUGGGGAGCAAACAGGAUUAGAUA
rnacentral:rRNA from 1 species